AGAAGCGAAACAGUGAUGUGGAGCAAAACUUAAGAAAAGUAGUCUCAGUUCGGAUUGAAGGCUGAAAUUCGCCUGCACGAAGUCGGAAUUGCUAGUAAUCGUAGGUCAGCAUACUACGGUGAAUACGUUCCCGGGCCUUGUACACACCGCCCGUCAAACCAUGAGAGUUGGCAACACCCGAAGUCGGUAGUCUAACCGCAAGGAGGACGCCGCCGAAGGUGGGGUUGAUGAUUAGGGUUAAGUCGUAACAAGGUAAC
rnacentral:rRNA from 1 species